CAGGUGCACCCAGGUGAGCUCAGGUGUUUCCAGGUGUCCCCAGGUGUGCCCAGGUGUGUCACUCCCGGAUGCUGGCAGAGUAGGAGAACUGCGGGAAAUGCGUCUGGUGGUCGCGCUCGGGGGAAUCCAGGUGCUCACCUGGGGACAGGUGAGGGACAGGGGAGACACAGGUGAGACACAGGUGAGAUACAGGUGAGACACAGGUGAGACACGGGAGA